UACUGAGCUGGGGACCAGGUGGGACCAGCGGCUUACAGAAGGCAGUGUGGUGCUCUGAGCCUGAAUGGACGUUGCUGUGGUCACUGACUGUCCUUUGUUGUCAUUCGUGUAACUCUCUCUGCCCCAUCUUGGCAACACUUACCAUGGGAGCACUAGAUGUACCUGUCUCCCUCACAUCCCCAUGCCGUUCCCUGCCUAGAGUGCCCACUCUCCUUCAUUUGGCUAACUCCUGGGGCCCAUUUGAUGGCCACCAGAAUGCCCUGGCCCUCAGGCUGGCCAGAGCCUUCUUUCAGUGUCUCAGGCUCUGAAGUGUCUACAUGCUAGUCACCUGAGGUAAUUUCCUAAGCUCCAUCUCCUUCACAGGGCAAUGGCCUGUGAUACUCCUUCCUGCAUGGAACCCCAAGGCCCAGGCCCCAGGCUCUCAAGGAAGGCUGGCUAGGGGGGUGUAGCUGAUUGUGCCUCCUCAUGUUUCAACCUGCCGUGCUUCUUCUUUUUUUUUUUUUUUUUUGGUUCUUUUUUUUUCGGAGCUGGGGACCGAACCCAGGGCCUUGCGCUUCCUAGGUAAGCAGGUAAGCGCUCUACCACUGAGCUAAAUCCCCAGCCCCCCUGCCGUGCUUCUUAAGCUGCUCUGUGCCCUUGCUGCCGAACAGACGAACAGACGAACAGACGACGAUCUGCAGGCUAGGUAGCAUACAAUAAGUAUGUUUUUCAGAAGAAACUAAA
rnacentral:lncRNA from 1 species